rnacentral:rRNA from 1 species
AUAAUGGAGAGUUUGAUCCUGGCUCAGAACGAACGCUGGCGGCGCGUCUUAAGCAUGCAAGUCGGACGGCAGGGUGCCUUCGGGCAUCCGAGAGUGGCGAACGGGUGAGUAACACGUAAGUGAUCUGCCCCGCAGUUGGGGAUAGCCUGUGGAAACACAGGGUAAUACCGGAUGAGAUGUCA